AAGGCCCUCACCUCCCUUCUCUUUGCAGAGCCGCCUUCUCACCUCAACAUCCCGGGGUCAUUUGUUGGCCAGAAACUCCCUGGAGCCACCACCCUUGCUGUGGUCCUUGGACUUGUGAUCCUUCCAAUUCUGGUCACUACAGCUGUGGCCGUCGCUAGAUCCAGCAGGAACAAGCUCUCCGGCAGGCUAAGAGGAUCCCACCGUAAUGAAGGGUCAGGCACGUCCUCAGGGCUCUCCGGGAUUACGUCAGUUAAACCUUACAAGCGUCCUUCGAGGCUGACAGAGCUACCGACCCACUCUACAGACGAGGACACUGAGGUCACCAAGAGGCUGGGUGACUCGUCGGGCUGAGCCAGGCCUGAGAGGAGACUGACUGCUGAGCAGAGGUGCUGAGACUGGGCAGUUUAUUCCAUUUCUCAGAGUCCCUACAGUCUGGGAGCACAGCCCCGCAGGGACCUGAGAGACCAGUGUCACCCACCACCCUCCAACCUCUGCUGGCCCCUACCUGUCUUCUCCCAGCUUGCCUACUAAUAUAGUAGGCAGUUAUGAGCGGACAGUCCAAAGAGAGUAGCAGAAGGACACAGGACACACAGUCACCUGAGUACAUCUAUACCACCCACACAGCUCAACCUGUUGAAAAUAGCACAAUGAGGAAUCUGCAGCCAUCCAGCAAGCUCCUGUCAAACUGAAGGAGCAGCUACGUCAUAACCCAUCUCCCUCCUCAGUAGCAUUUGUGCAGGAAGGGCUACCAUUCAGCACACAUCAGGUGGAUACCAGUAUAAAAUGCCAGACCACUCCACUUGAGAAUAUCUUGCCUUCAGAAUAAACGGGAUUCCUCAUUUCAGAAAUGGGCCCUGCUAGCAAGCCUAGUAAAGACACAGGUUUAUCCACUGCAGCCAGAUACAGAGAGCGAAGAAGCAACUCUCAGCAAGGAAAGUCCCCUGGUCUUCAUCUGCUGGUGGACGUGGCCUGCAAGCAGGAGCAUUUUCCCAAGGAGGAAGAGCUCAAAGAGUGAGGAAUGGAUGACAAAAUGUGAUACCGUGCACGAGCUGUAGCUGGAGGCAGACUAGCCUUGCACAUGACACACUGUUGGGAUUUUUGUCAGUUCUGUUAAGGAAAAAACAAAUUUUGGUUUUGUUAAUUGAGAAUUUUGUUACUAGGGAAUUGGUAUUACUGCAGCAGUCCAGUUCAGACUGUUUACCUUGACAAACUUCGAAACAUCUAGCAGUGUGUGUUUUUUUUCUGCCCAGAUCCCUUUCAAAUUUAAAGUCCUGGCCUUCUGUUACUGUCAAGAAACAUCUGAAAACUGCUGUGUCUCUGCUGAUCUGUUGUCUUGUCACUCUCAGCCUGUGACCAGCACAAUACUAGAAGGGUGUUCAGUCCGUCUGUUUUAAGUCACAGUGUGACCCCUGUAGAGAAGAUGACAUGAGAAACAAAGGCAUGUGAGGUCACCAGGAUCUCAGGUCUGCAUGGGUCAGGAAUUCCAGGAAAGAAACCCUGCGAAAGAGCUACUUUUCUAAGUGAUUCACCAGGAAAAGCUCUAGCUUCCUAAGCAGCAUUCUGUUUCAAAAGCAUAGCGUCUGGACUUGAACCAUCCAUCAUAUUGAAUAGCCCCUGAUUCUCUAUUAAUGGGAGCAUUCUUCUAUUUUCAUAUCUUUCCUUAAUUUUGGUAAUACAUUAUCAGAAAUGGUGAGAAGGCUUGUUAAUAUGGCA